rnacentral:rRNA from 1 species
AACGAACGCUGGCGGCAGGCCUAACACAUGCAAGUCGAACGCUUCAGCAAUGAAGAGUGGCAGACGGGUGAGUAACGCGUGGGAACCUUCCCAGUGGUACGGAAUAGCCCAGGGAAACUUGGGGUAAUACCGUAUAAGCCCUUCGGGGGAAAGAUUUAUCGCCAUUGGAUGGGCCCGCGUCGGAUUAGCUUGUUGGUGAGGUAAAAGCUCACCCAGGCGACGAUCCGUAGCUGGUCUGAGAGGAUGAUCAGCCACACUGGGACUGAGACACGGCCCAGACUCCUACGGGAGGCAGCAGUGGGGAAUAUUGGACAAUGGGCGCAAGCCUGAUCCAGCCAUGCCGCGUGAGUGACGAAGGCCUUAGGGUUGUAAAGCUCUUUUGGCGGGGACGAUAAUGACGGUACCCGCAGAAUAAGCUCCGGCUAACUUCGUG